AUACCUUUCUCGGCCUUUUGGCUAAGAUCAAGUGUAGUAUCUGUUCUUAUCAGUUUAAUAUCUGAUAUGUGGAUCAUUGAUUCACACGAUAUUAAAUUUAUUUUUUGAGGGAGAGUGUCAAUUACAAUAGCUUGCUAUUGGGACUCUUAGGCAUUGCUCUUGUCUUGCACUUCUGCAAGAGCCUGAUGCAUCCCAC
rfam:Phaseolus vulgaris cultivar G19833 chromosome 11, whole genome shotgun sequence.